AGGAAACAGGCAUGGAGAGGUAAGGUGAGCCACUGGCUGGGCCCAUAUUUAGUUAUUUAAACAAAAAAAGCUACAGUGCCUAGUGGGUAACUGUAUUGGACAACUGUGAGUCUAGAAGCCUUCCAGAUUCAGGCUGAGGCAGAUAAUAUCGGCAACCAGAAAGAGGAGCUGGGAGAGCUGCAGAAACAAGGCUGGAUUGGGAGCAGACAAGCUCAGAAGGAUGAGGGAUGGCAGGAGCAGGUGCCACAAGGCAGUGGGUGCUGCCACUAGCUUUCAAGUAGGAGGAAGAAAGGAGAAAAUACCUCAGGAUGUUGACUAAGUGAAGGCCAGACACAAAAGGCCACAUAUCCCAUGACUGUAUUUUAAUGAAAUGUCCAGAACCAGUAAAGAUACAGACAGAGGUAUAUUUGUGGUUACUAGGAAAUGGGAAAGGGAGUGAGGGAGAGGAUGGGGAGUGACUGCUAAAUGAGUACAGGGUUCUGAAAAUGUUCUAAAAUUAGGCUGCAUUCAUGGUUGCACAACUCUGAAACUCAGUGAAUGGUAUGCUUUAAGUGGAUGAGUUGUGUUGUGUGUGAAUUAUAUCUCAAUAAACCUGUUUAUUAUUUUUUUCUUGAGACAGGGUCUCGGUCUCACUUUGUUCCCUGGGCUGGGACAGUGGCACAAUCUCUGCUCACUGCAACCUCCGCCUCCUGGGUUCAAGCAAUUCUUGUGCCUCAGCCUCCUGAGUAGCUGGGAUUACAGCCAUGCGCCACCAUGCCUGGUUUAUUUUUAGUAGAGAAGGGGUUUCGCUAUAUUGGCCAGGCUGGUCUUGAACUCCUGGCCUCAAGUGGUCCACCGACCUUGGUCUUUCAAGGUGGUAAUGGGGCUGUGCAUGGUGGCUCAUGCCUGUAAUCCCAGCACUUUGGGAGGCCAAGGCAGGCAGACUGCUUGAGUCCAGAAGUUCAAGACUAGCCUGGGCAACAUGGCGACACCUGUCUCUACAAAAAAUACAAAAAUUAGCUAGGCAUGAUGGCAUGUGCCUGUAAGUCCCAGCUAUUCGAAGGCUGAGGUGGGAGGAUCACAUGAGCCUGGGGAGGCUGAGGCUGUUGUGAGCAAUGACUGCACCACUGUAUGCCAGCGUCGUUGACAGUGAGACCCUGUCUCAAAAACAAAAAAUCAGGUGAUGAUGAUUGCACAAGCAUUGUGAAUGUGUUUAAUGGUAGUAAAUUAUAAAAUUAUAGGGAGUAUAUAUUCAGGGCAACUUGAAUCUAUACUCCAAAGUAAAACAAAAUUCUUAAAAAUUAUACUUAAAAGUGUUUAAAAUGGCAAAUUUGAUUUUGUCACAAUAAAAACAAACGACACUGGGUAAACAAUGGUUGAGCUGGUCUCAGAUCUAGUGACGUGAGAGUAUGGAGAGGAGUGCUCUUUAGAAGUUGCCCGUCCCCCACAGGCAGCAGCGCCCUGCAGGAGCCCGCUGACCAACCAGUUACAAGUGAACCUCUCAAACACCAAAAUGGCUGCUUUAAGGAGGGCGCAGCUGCAAUGAGUCACCUCCCAGGGGAGCCACAAAAGCCAUAGGUCCUCUAAGCUCCUCUCACUGGGGCCUAGAGGACAGAGAGCAAUCAAUCUGUGAUGAGACACAGGUUAAUUAAAGCACAUUUAUUGGCUUUUGAAUUCUUUCUAUUCAGUAGUGGUUAGGAGAAAGGGCUCAGGAGUUGGGCAAUGUGGUUUGAUUCCCAGUGCACACCACUUUCUAGCAGGCAACCCAAUUUCUUUUAACCUGUUUGCUCAUCUGUAAAACGAGGAUGGGAAAACUAGCUACCUCCUAGGGAUGCUAUGAAGCCUGGAACAUGUAGUGGGUAUCAUGUGUAUCCUGCAGCGCCUGAUGGUGGUAAACAAUCAACAUUAGCUAGGAUAAUUAUUUGCAUAUAAGUUCUGAUUUUUAAACAUUUUUAAUGAAUAAAAAUGGGGACGUGAACAAAGGAACACCCAAAUGCAGAACUUGGUAGACAAAAUCUAAAACCCCCAAGCUGCCACUUGUUUUUGAGAACAAGUGGACAGCAAAAGGGAUCCCCAGUCUGGGAGACGCUUGGCUAAAUCAAGUCUGAGGCUUCUUUACUGCCUAAUUUCAGAGAGAACAUUCUUUAUUGCAGGGACAACAUUCACAAACUUAUUUGUGUUAAGAAUCCUUAUUUCAUAGAACAUAUCAUGGUCUAGUACUCAAUGCAACCCUCACUGAGAAAUGCUACCCAAGACCCACUCCACAUAGAGGGACAUGUAGGAGAAGGCUGAGGCCUGGUCCAUCCAGCACUAUUGAGUAGUCCACAGAGCCUUAGAAGCAUGCCAUUCAGGGGCCUUGUACUGAGGUCAGAGUGAGGGAAGUAGAAGCUUAAGAACUUUGGGCCAGAGCUUUAAAGGUCUGGAGGGAGGAAGACUGCCGGGGCUCUGGGAUUUGGUGCUGGCCAGCAGAGUCCUAGGGAGCAGGGACUCUGCGCACUAGGGAAGAGAUGUGCACUGGCAGGUCUGGACCAGCUCUGUUUUGUGGCAGCCAAGGAGAACAGGAGAUGCUCAAAAAUUAGGGUGGGCAAAAAAGUUUUAAGGUGUUUCCGCAUAAGUAGAAAUCCUGGAGAAUACAAAAAGAUGGGGAAGGCAGUUUUCUGGGGAGAAAUUAUGUUUUCCUUCCGGAGCUUUUGGGGGGUUCAGCUGCACAUCUUCAGGUACAUAAAAAUGAAGCCUUAUAGGGCACCCACACCCCCUCUUCAGGAACAUGGCAACCCCACCUGCUCCAAGGACACAUCACCCUCCCCAACAAUCAGUAACUCUGAAGACAUCAGUUCUUCUCAAACAGUUUAAUAGCAAAUAAACAAAGGAAGGUA
rnacentral:lncRNA from 10 species